rnacentral:rRNA from 1 species
GACGAACCGUGCAAACGUUGUUCGGAAUCACUGGGCAUAAAGGGCGCGUAGGCGGUCGGUCAAGUCUGGGGUGAAAUCUUUCGGCUCAACCGGAAACGUGCCUUGGAUACUGACUGGCUGGAGGGAGGCAGGGGUCGACGGAACUUCCGGUGGAGCGGUGAAAUGCGUAGAUAUCGGAAGGAACACCGGUGGCGAAAGCGGUCGACUGGACCUUUUCUGACGCUGAGGCGCGAAAGCCAGGGGAGCAAACGG